GACGAACGCUGGCGGCGUGCCUAACACAUGCAAGUCGUGCGGUCUCGCCUUAAGCGAAAGGCCUUCGGGCUUUGAAGCAAAGGCGAGAUAGCGGCGGACGGGUGAGUAACGCGUGGCUUAUCUGUCCCAGGGAGGGGGAUAACGUCUGGAAACGGGCGCUAAUACCCCAUAUGCCGAAAGGUAAAAGGAGAAAUCCGCCCUGGGGUGAGGCCGCGUCCUAUCAGCUCGUUGGUGAGGUAACGGCCCACCAAGGCUAUGACGGGUAGCCGGCCUGAGAGGGCGGCUGGCCACACUGGGAUUGAGAUACGGCCCAGACUCCUACGGGAGGCAGCAGUGGGGAAUAUUGGGCAAUGGGGGAAACCCUGACCCAGCGACGCCGCGUGGAGGAAGGAGCCCUUCGGGGUGUAAACUCCUGUUGUAAGGGAAGAAGACAGUGACGGUACCUUACGAGGAAGCCCCGGCAAACUACGUGCCAGCCGCCGCGGUAAAACCCAUAGUAGU
rnacentral:rRNA from 1 species